CUUUUAUCCAAAGUACUCAAAAGAGGGGUGAGAUUAAGAUAUUGCUGGUCAGUGAAUUGUGUAUUUUCUUCGCAAUGUUUCACUAUUGAAUUUUCUUUAAGAGUGAGGUAUUAAGAAUAAUUUGAACAUGAAAGUGGCGGAAUAAAUUAUAAGUACAUACGUAAUCAGGAGAUACGUUGCAACGGAACAUAGUGAAACAUUGGAACACACCGAACACCAUAAAAAGUGUACCAAUUGGCAAAUCAACAUGUUUAUAUAUAAUUUAUACGUUUAAGCUGACUUCAACCUGGAGUUGCUUCGCGUUAACUGAACUAAAAGUUAAAGCUUCGUUUGGCUGAGAAACGAAAAACCUAGUUAUAACAAAAUGGCGGCUAAGAGCUAUUUUUCGAUUAAGCUUUUGCCUUUAAUAUCUAGUAUAACAAAUGCUUAAUGUAUGAAUAUGCUUGGGCAAGCUAACUUCGAAUGCUGCACAACCUGUUCUAUUACAAUACUAAAUUAUAUUUGUAGCAGUUAACAAUUUCUUCUCAAUAUGAACAUUAAAUAAAGUCUGUUCUGUAUUACUGUUUUUUUAUUUCUGUGCGAAAUUUAUAAUUUAACAUGUCUAAAG